GAAGAUGCUAAGACGAACCCUAAAAAGUUCUACAUACA
rnacentral:tRNA from 1 species